rnacentral:rRNA from 1 species
AGUGAACGCUGGCGGUAGGCCUAACACAUGCAAGUUGAACGGCAGCACAGUAAGAGCUUGCUCUUACGGGCGGCGAGUGGCGGACGGGUGAGGAAUACAUCGGAAUCUACUUUUUCGUGGGGGAUAACGUAGGGAAACUUACGCUAAUACCGCAUACGACCUACGGGUGAAAGCAGGGGAUCUUCGGACCUUGCGCGAUUGAAUGAGCCGAUCUCGGAUCAGCUAGUUCGCGGGUUAAAGGCCCACCAAGGCGCCGAUCCGUAGCUGGUCUGAGAGGAUGUACAGCUACUCUUGAACUUGGAGACGUUCCAGACUCGUAUGGGAGGCAGCAGUGGGGAAUAUUUGACAAUGGGCGCAAGCCUGAUCCAGCCAUACCGCGUAAGUGUAGAAGACCUUCGUGUUGUAAAGCCCUUUUGUUGGGAAAGAAUAACAGCAGGUUAAUACCCCGCUGUUCUGACGGUACCCGUAGAAGAAGCACCGGCUACCUUCGU